rnacentral:rRNA from 1 species
UCGGGAAUUUUGGGCAAUGGGCGAAAGCCUGACCCAGCAACGCCGCGUGAAGGAUGAAGUAUUUCGGUAUGUAAACUUCGAAAGAAUAGGAAGAAUAAAUGACGGUACUAUUUAUAAGGUCCGGCUAACUACGUGCCAGCAGCCGCGGUAAUACGGGGGGUGCAAGCGUUAAUCGGAAUUAUUGGGCGUAAAGGGUGCGUAGGUUGUUUGAUAAGAUAUAUGUGAAAUACCUGGGCUCAACCUGGGAAGGUCAUAUAAGACUGUCAGACUCGAGUAUGGGAGAGGGUAGAGGAAUUUCCGGUGUAGCGGUGAAAUGCGUAGAUAUCGGAAGGAACAUCGGUGGCGAAGGCGUCUACCUGGCCUAAUACUGACACUGAGGCACGAAAGCGUGGGGAGCAAACAGGAUUAGAUACCCUUGUAUUCCCUGAGCGGGCUGGCAAGGCGCAU